AAUGAACGCUGGCGGCAGGCCUAACACAUGCAAGUCGAACGGAUCCUUCGGGAUUAGUGGCGGACGGGUGGGUAACGCGUGGGAACAUACCCUUUGGUACGGAAUAGCCUCGGGAAACUGGGAGUAAUACCGUAUGUGGCCGAGAGACGAAAGAUUUAUCGCCAAAGGAUUGGCCCGCGUUGGAUUAGGUAGUUGUUGGGGUAAUGGCCUACCAAGCCGACGAUCCAUAGCUGGUUUGAGAGGAUGAUCAGCCACACUGGGACUGAGACACGGCCCAGACUCCUACGGGAGGCAGCAGUGGGGAAUCUUAGACAAUGGGGGAAACCCUGAUCUAGCCAUGCCGCGUGAUCGAUGAAGGCCUUAGGGUUGUAAAGAUCUUUCAGGUGGGAAGAUAAUGACUGUACCACCAGAAGAAGCCCCGGCUAACUCCGGGCCAGCCGCCGCCGUAA
rnacentral:rRNA from 1 species